ACACGGGGGGCGCAAGCGUUAUUCGGAAUUAUUGGGCGUAAAGGGCGCGUAGGCGGCUUGGUAAGUCAGAUGUGAAAGCCCGGGGCUUAACCCCGGAAGUGCAUUUGAAACUAUCAGGCUUGAGUAUGGGAGAGGGAAGUGGAAUUCCUGGUGUAGAGGUGAAAUUCGUAGAUAUCAGGAGGAACACCGGUGGCGAAGGCGACUUCCUGGACCAAUACUGACGCUGAGGCGCGAAGGCGUGGGGAGCAAACAGGAUUAGAUACCCCAGUAGUCC
rnacentral:rRNA from 1 species